GACGAACGCUGGCGGCGUGCCUAAUACAUGCAAGUCGAACGCUUCUUUCCUCCCGAGUGCUUGCACUCAAUUGGAAAGAGGAGUGGCGGACGGGUGAGUAACGCGUGGGUAACCUACCCAUCAGAGGGGGAUAACACUUGGAAACAGGUGCUAAUACCGCAUAACAGUUUAUGCCGCAUGGCAUAAGAGUGAAAGGCGCUUUCGGGUGUCGUUGAUGGAUGGACCCGCGGUGCAUUAGCUAGUUGGUGAGGUAACGGCUCACCAAGGCCACGAUGCAUAGCCGACCUGAGAGGGUGAUCGGCCACACUGGGACUGAGACACGGCCCAGACUCCUACGGGAGGCAGCAGUAGGGAAUCUUCGGCAAUGGACGAAAGUCUGACCGAGCAACGCCGCGUGAGUGAAGAAGGUUUUCGGAUCGUAAAACUCUGUUGUUAGAGAAGAACAAGGACGUUAGUAACUGAACGUCCCCUGACGGUAUCUAACCAGAAAGCCACGGCUAACUACGUG
rnacentral:rRNA from 1 species